UUCUCAAUUGCCUUCAGUCCUUUUCUCAUUCAUUAACAAAUCUCACUAUAGAGUUGAUUUGAUACCCACUUCAACUAUUAGAAAAAAUAAAUGCCAUUCUGAGUGGAAUUUACUGUAGAAUUUCCUCUAUAUAAACCAUCCAAUUACAGGCAAAGUCUAGAAAUUGAACUUUCCUCCACAAAAGAUGAAGAGCUUUGCACAUUUUGGUAAGAAAUUAGAGCAUCUUUGUAAGUUGUCAUGCACAAAAGUAAAUUGUUUCCACGAAUACUGCAAAAGUUUAAUCAAGUCAUCAUUUCGUUUCUUGGGCUUUCAUGUAAACCCAUUUUGGAUUCAUCUUGCUUAUUUUAUAAUCAUCUCUUUUGUUGGGUUUUUGGCUUUGAAGGUCUCAAAGCCAAGAACUCCUCCCUCCCUCUGGCCUAAUGACCUGGAUAUCUUCUUCACUUCUGUGUCUGCUGCUACAGUUUCUAGCAUGUCAACAGUGGAAAUGGAGGUCUUCUCCAACACCCAGCUUAUCAUCAUGACCAUUUUGAUGUUAGUGGGUGGAGAGGUCUUCACUUCCAUGCUUGAACUUCAAUUAGAAAGGUCCAAAUUCCCUAGCCAAGGUCUUUCAUACACUACAAACUCUUUAGAGUUGGCUCCUGCUGCUGUUUCUCAUGAGUUAGCAGAAAAUGAGAAACCAGCAGACACUGACCUAGAAAGUAACAGAAACUCCUCAGAUAGUGAUAGUUUAAAGUAUGCUUCCAUCAAGAUUCUGAGUUAUGUGGUUCUGGGCUAUCUCCUGGUAAUUCACAUUAGUGGUUCUAGUUUAGUUGCUUUGUACACAUACCUAGCACCAUCUGCCAGAGAAGUAUUAACCAAAAAAGCCCUUCAGGUACCGACAUUUACUCUGUUCACUGUGGCAUCAACUUUUGCCAAUUGUGGGUUUGUUCCUACAAAUGAAAACAUGAUAGUUUUCAAGAAAAAUUCAGGCCUCCUUCUCCUUCUAAUCCCUCAAAUACUUAUAGGAAACACACUAUAUGCACCCACCCUCCGAUUUCUGAUAUGGGUAUUGCAGAAGAUCACAAAAAGAGUGGAGUAUGGGUACAUGUUGAAGAACAGUAGAGAGAUGGGUUAUACCCAUUUGAUGUCUAGCGUUCAUUGCUGGUCUCUUUUUGCAACCUUUAUGAUUUUCAUAUUGGUACAGCUAGUAGUGUUUUGCUCUAUGGAGUGGAAUUCACAAGCGAUGGAUGGGUUGAGUUGCUUUGAGAAGUUGGUUGCUGCCUUAUUUCAAGUGGUGAAUUCCAGGCAUUCUGGUGAAUCUGUUUUUGAUCUCUCCACCAUCUCUCCUGCAAUCUUGGUGCUCUUCGUGGUCAUGAUGUAUCUUCCACCAUAUACUUCAUUUGUGCCCAUGGCGAUCGAAGAAAAAGAGGAAGAAAUUAAAGCAAGUGGCAAAAAAGGAAGAAAAUUUCGAGGGCAGGCACCAAGUCAAUUCUUAUUAUUCUCUCAAUUGUCUUAUCUUGUCUUCUUCAUCAUUCUAAUAUGUAUAGUGGAGAGGGAAAAGAUGAAGAUUGAUUCUCUUAACUUUAAUGUCUUAAACAUCACCAUGGAAGUGAUAAGUGCAUAUGGAAAUGUUGGGUUGUCAAGUGGUUAUAGUUGUGAAAAACGAUUAAAGAAAGAUAAUUGGUGCAAAGAUGAAUGGUAUGGAUUCGUGGGAAGGUGGAGCAACUUGGGUAAGUUCAUCCUCAUCAUUGUCAUGUUCCUUGGAAGGCUUAAGAAAUUCUUCAUUAACGGUGGUAAAGCUUGGAAGCUAUCUUGAUACACCUUCCUGCUUUUGUAGCUUAUCCACAAGAUGUUUAUGUGGAUAUAUAGUAUAUGUUAUAUCGAUAUGAAGCACUAGAUAUUUAGAUGUAAAUUAAGAAAAAUCAAAAGAAUCAUCUUAUUUCUGUAACUGUUCCUCUUUUGUAUACAGAAGGAAGAAGAAGAAAAACAAAUGCAGACAGCACGUCAAUGUCGUUGUUUCUCUCAUUUAACUAAUUGAGUUAAACUAAGCUAUGCUUAAAUAUA
rnacentral:misc_RNA from 1 species